rfam:Picea glauca, whole genome shotgun sequence.
AUGUACAUUCCUACAGCAUAGCGUUAAUGCACCGGAUCCCAUUACAACUCUGCAAUUAAGCGUGCUUGGGCUAGAGUAGUACUGGGAUGGGUAACCACCUGGGAAGUCCUAUUGUUUUACAUG